rnacentral:rRNA from 1 species
UACGGGGGGGGCAAGCGUUGUUCGGAAUUACUGGGCGUAAAGGGCUCGUAGGUGGCCAACUAAGUCAGACGUGAAAUCCCUCGGCUUAACCGGGGAACUGCGUCUGAUACUGGAUGGCUUGAGUUCGGGAGAGGGAUGCGGAAUUCCAGGUGUAGCGGUGAAAUGCGUAGAUAUCUGGAGGAACACCGGUGGCGAAAGCGGCUCUCUGGUCCGGACCUGACGCUGAGGCGCGAAAGCGUGGGGAGCAAACAGG